CUCCGGUUGAUCCUGCCGGACCCGACUGCUAUCAGAGUGGGACUAAGCCAUGCGAGUCAACAUAGCAAUAUGUGGCAUACGGCUCAGUAACACGUAGUCAACAUGCCCAGGGGACGUGGAUAACCUCGGGAAACUGAGGAUAAACCGCGAUAGGUCAUCACUUCUGGAAUGGGUAAUGACUUAAAUCUAUAUGGCCCCUGGAUUGGACUGCGGCCGAUCAGGCUGUUGGUGAGGUAAUGGCCCACCAAACCUGUAACCGGUACGGGCUCUGAGAGGAGGAGCCCGGAGAUGGGCACUGAGACAAGGGCCCAGGCCCUAUGGGGCGCAGCAGGCGCGAAACCUCUGCAAUAGGCGAAAGCUUGACAGGGUUACUCUGAGUGAUUUCCGUUAAGGAGAUCUUUUGGCACCUCUAAAAAUGGUGCAGAAUAAGGGGUGGGCAAGUCUGGUGUCAGCCGCCGCGGUAAUACCAGCACCCCGAGUGGUCGGGACGUUUAUUGGGCCUAAAGCAUCCGUAGCCGGUUCUACAAGUCUUCCGUUAAAUCCACCUGCUCAACAGAUGGGCUGCGGAAGAUACUAUAGAGCUAGGAGGCGGGAGAGGCAAGCGGUACUCGAUGGGUAGGGGUAAAAUCCGUUGAUCCAUUGAAGACCACCAGUGGCGAAGGCGGCUUGCCAGAACGCGCUCGACGGUGAGGGAUGAAAGCUGGGGGAGCAAACCGGAUUAGAUACCCGGGUAGUCCCAGCUGUAAACGAUGCAGACUCGGUGAUGAGUUGGCUUAUUGCUAACUCAGUGCCGCAGGGAAGCCGUUAAGUUUGCCGCCUGGGGAGUACGGUCGCAAGACUGAAACUUAAAGGAAUUGGCGGGGGAGCA
rnacentral:rRNA from 1 species